AACAUUCUGAAGGUUCUAGAAGGUAAUCAGUACAUUACGGUACCAUAUGUAAAUAAGCAUAGUAAACAAUAAACAUGUGGCUUACCUCAGGUUCAACAUUUAAAAGUUAAUGUAAGGAGGCAGGAGGCACCUGAUAUCACAGAUAGGAUUAGUAGAAUAAGUCCUCAGUUCUUUUUUGUUGGUUUACAGAAUAGAGGCUAUGAUUAAGAGAGACUGCUGGGGGCAUUCACACUGUGCCACUGGAAGUUAAAUUCUUGGGCCAGCACAAGACAGAUCAGAGCAAAAGCAUUUUCAUUAAUUGAGAAUGAAGGUCAGAGUUCGAAUAUAAUCAGAUACAGUGGUAGUUCCAACCAUAAUGAUGGCAAUUGUGAAGCAGCGUUAUUCUCAUGACCCUCCUGGAAGCUUCUGGGAAACCAAAAUCUUUGGGUU
rnacentral:ncRNA from 1 species